rnacentral:tRNA from 1 species
UGUCUGGGUGGAGCAGUUGGUAGCUCGUCUGGCUCAUAACCAGAAGGUCGGCGGUUCGAGUCCGUCCCCAGCAACCA